rnacentral:rRNA from 1 species
CUGACUCGGCGAAAAUAUCUUCGAUAUAGUAGAGCGGCGGACGUAGUAACGCUAGAAUCUACCUAGAGGGGACGGGGAACCAUUAAUACCGUAUACCUCCUCGGGAAAAGAAGCUCUCUUUGAGCUUUCGCUAUAAUGAGCCUGCGUAAAUUAGCUUGUUGGUGAGGAAGGUCCCAAGGACAUUUUGCUGGUCUGAGAGGACAUCACCACAUUGGGACUGAACCGGCCCAACUCCUACGGGAGGCACAGGGGAAUAUUGGACAAUGGGCGCAAGCCUGAUCCAGCCAUACCGCGGUGUAAAAGGCCUUCGGGUUGUAAGCAUUUACGGGAAAAAAGUUAUAAUUAAUACCUUUAGCCGGAUGUACCUGCAAAUAACACCGGUAAUUCCGUGCCAGCAGCCGCGGUAAUACGGAAGGUGCAAGCGUUAAUCGGAAUUACUGGGCGUAAAGCGCGCGUAGGUGGUUUGUUAAUUGGAUGGAAAGCCCUGGGCUCACCUAGGAACUGAUCCAAAACUAACUCACUAGAGUACGAUAGAGGGAGGUAGAAUUCAUAGUGUAGCGGUGGAAUGCUAGAUAUUAUGAAAAUACCAGUGGAAGCGCUCCUGGAUCUGUACUGACUGGGGUGCGAAAGCGUGGGUAGCGAACAGGAUUAAUCCCUGGUAUCCACGCCUAAACGAUGACAACUAGCUGUUGGGAGACAUGUCUUUCAGUGGCCAGCUAACGUUUAAGUUGCCGCUGGGGAGACGGCCGAGGCUAAAACUCAAAUGAAUUACGGGACCCGCACAGGUGGAGCAUGUGGUUUAAUUCGAUGCCGCGAAAACCUACCUACUCUUGAAUACUGGAAUCUUGUAAUGAAGUGCUUUUACCAAUACAGGGUCUGCGGCGUCAUCACCUCGUGUCGGAGGGUUCCCGUUAGUCGAACACCCCCCUCCCUUAUUUGCCAGGAUUCGGCGGCUGAGGGAACUGCCUGGAUACCGAGAGGUGAAUAAUCUUGCUUUGUAG